rnacentral:precursor_RNA from 1 species
GUGUUUCUAUUUUUUGCAUGAUCUGAAGUACGUGAGUGCUUUUAAGAUCUUAUAAAAAUUAAAAACUA